rnacentral:rRNA from 1 species
AUGUCAUGUACUCAACUUUCUAUAACGAACACUUAUAGGUAUAUGGUGAUGGACAACAUUAGAUGGUUAACCCAUAGACAGCGGUCUGGGCAGGGAAUGAACGCCUCUGCUGUGUUUAUUGUUGAUCAGGACUGGUUCAACAGAAAUGAAAACGAUAUGAUGCUCAACUCAACUUAUCCAUGCGAGCAAGCCAUGGUUGAGAGUGUUCUGGUAGUGUUGGAGGACAUGUUGUCGUUGUCUGUCCAGCCCAAUUCUUCGGAACUUAGAAGUUUAAGCUUGAACAACGAUAGCUACUAUGUUUUUGAAGAUUUAUGA